ACCCGCUGAACUUAAGCAUAUCAAUAAGCGGAGGAAAAGAAACUAACAAGGAUUCCCCUAGUAACGGCGAGCGAAGCGGGAAGAGCUCAAAUUUGAAAGCUGGCGUCUUCGGCGUCCGCGUUGUAAUCUCGAGACGUGUUUUCCGUGCGGCUCUAUGGACAAGUCCCUUGGAACAGGGCAUCGUAGAGGGUGAAAAUCCCGUACUUGCCAUGGAAGUACCGUGCUUUGUGAUACACGCUCCAAGAGUCGAGUAGUUUGGGAUUGCUGCUCAAAGUGGGUGGUAGACUCCAUCUAAAGCUAAAUAUCGGGGAGAGACCGAUAGCGAACAAGUACCGUGAGGGAAAGAUGAAAAGCACUUUGGAAAGAGAGUUAAAAGUACGUGAAAUUGUCGAAAGGGAAGCACUUGAAGUCAGCCAUGCUGCUUGAGACUCAGCCUGGCUUUUGCUUGGUGUAUUUCCCGGUAGCAAGCCAGCAUUGGUUUGUGUCGUCGGAGAAGCGUAUGGGGAAUGUGGCAUCCUCGGAUGUGUUAUAGCCCUGUGCAGGAUACGACGACGUAGACCAAGGAACGCAGUGUGCCCUCUGGGCGGGUCUUCGGACACCUUCACACUUAGGAUGCUGGCGUAAUGGCUUUAAGUGGCCCGUCUUGAAACACGGACCAAGGAG
rnacentral:rRNA from 1 species